UACAGAGGUCUCAAGCGUUGUUCGGAUUCAUUGGGCGUAAAGGGUGUGUAGGUGGCGCCGUAAGUGGGAUGUGAAAUCUCGGGCUUAACUCCGAAACUGCAUUCCAUACUGCGGUGCUUGAGGACUGGAGAGGAGACUGGAAUUCAUGGUGUAGCAGUGAAAUGCGUAGAGAUCAUGAGGAAGACCAGUGGCGAAGGCGGGUCUCUGGACAGUUCCUGACACUGAGACACGAAGGCCAGGGGAGCAAACGGGG
rnacentral:rRNA from 1 species